rnacentral:rRNA from 1 species
UAGAUGGCAGACACACAGCGGAUGCUAACGUCCGUUGUGGAGAGGGAAACAACCCUGACCUACAGCUAAGGCCCCCAAUUCAUGGCUAAGUGGGAAAGCAGGUGGGACGACCAAAACAACCAGGAGGUUGGCUUAGAAGCAGCCAUCCUUUAAAGAUAGCGUAACAGCUCACUGGUCUAAAUAAGUUGUCCUGCGGCGAAGAUGUAACGGGGCUCAAGCCAUGAGCCGAAGCUUAGGAUGCACA